GCCGAGUCCAAGGUUCUUCUGUACAUAAGUGAUAUGGCCCUCUAUCAAGUUGGCAGCCGACGGAAAGCGUCACGGCCACAUUUCGGAGGGAAGAAAAGUUAUCUAGCAAAACAAGUUUGAAGUGCGUAGGCUGGUUCGUGUGGGAUAGCCAUUAGGUGGCAUAGGAAUAGAAAGGUUUAAUGGGACAACAGGCUUUCUUUCUCUCUCCGCACUCUUCUCCGUCCGAUGUAAGCGUUAAACGUCAUCCGACUAAACCACGCCUUUUUAUAACCAGAUAUCGGAAGCGUUGGACCCUCCUCUUAUGCAAACAUGAUCUCUAAUCUGGCAUCGUGACGUGCUGAGGAACGUGACUAUACACCAGACCGCAUCGAUAAGACGCUCAUUUUCGGCCACAUUUGAAAAAUCCAUCAACACCGUAUGUGUUUAUACUGAAAAUCAAAGUGCACCGAGAGACCACAUACGUAUUUAACCGUCCGUCGGCUGUGUUUGCUCAACCACACCCAGUCUGUCACAUUCGGUACGUUAUGGGAUAUAUCUGACGGGAAUUCCUGCCCACGAAGCCGCCCCGCGCACUGCGUCGGCGUCGGUUGUUGGACGCCCGCAGCGCCGCGACGCUACCCAAACACAUCCAGAUCAGCCGACUCCGAAUUCAGUUCGGUGCCAGCAGAACAACGAGCAACACCUGUCUGUCAACACACGAUUUUCACUCACCUGGUCCUGGCCGGCUCGAUCUUCCUCCUUCCUGUUGAUGGUUUCGCAUGCUGCCUUAAUGUAAGCCCCCUGU